rnacentral:rRNA from 1 species
AUUGAACGCUGGCGGCAGGCCUAACACAUGCACGUCGAGCGGAGCGGCGGACGGGUGAGUAAUGACUAGGAAUCUGCCUGGUAGUGUGGGAUAACGUCAGGAAAGGGGCGCUAAUACCGCAUACUAUCAGAUGAGCCUAGGUCGGAUUAGCUAGUGGGUGGGGUAAAGCCCUACCAAGGCGACGAUCCGUAAGUGGUCUGAGAGGAUGAUCAGGCAAACUGGAACUGAGACAGGGUCCAGAUGCCUAGGGGAGGCAGCAGUGGGGAAUAUUGGACAAUGGGCGAAAGCCUGAUCCAGCCAUGCCGCGUGUGUGAAGAAGGUCUUCGGAUUGUAAAGCACUUUAAGUUGGGAGGCGUUACCAACAGAAUAAGCACCGGCUAACUUCGUGCCAGCAGCGCGGUAAUAC